rnacentral:sRNA from 1 species
ACCGUGCUCAGCAAGUGCUCACCGUGCUCAGCAAGUGCUCACCGUGCUCAGCAAGUGCUCACCAUGCUCAGCAAGUACUCAUUGUGUUCAGCAAGUGCUCACCGUGCUCAGCAAGUGCUCACUGUGCUCAGCAAGUGCUCACUGUGCUCACCGUGCUCAGCAAGUGCUCACCGUGCUCAGCAAGUGCUCACCGUGCUCAGCAAGUGCUCACCGUGCUCAGCAAGUGCUCGCCAUGCUCAGCAAGUACUCAUUGUGCUCAGCAAAUACUCACCGUGCUCAGCAAGUGCUCACCGUGCUCAGCAAGUGCUCACCGUGCUCAGCAAGUGCUCACUGUGCUCAGCAAGUGCUCACCGUGCUCAGCAAGUGCUCACCCACACGUAACUCCUUAGUGUCUCAGAUCCUUUUCAAUUUGCCUUUCAAAGAUGCACUCUGGUAUGUUUGUAGGUGGGGCAUCCUUCCCUGUUCCUUUCUCUGAUCCACAGGUGCUGACCUGGCAGACCACAGCUAUCAGAGAACUGGGCCUUGUGGGGUGGCAGAGGUUUUCAACACCCCAGCAAAAAGCCUUAAUUACUCCAUUGCCCUGAUAGUCCAGCAAGGCUUCCUCAGACAGCGAGAGGGGAAGCCAGGAAAGCUUUUCGAACUGUUGUGGGCCAUAUCGGGAGACUGGAGAGUCAGAUGGGGGGAUUUAGGGCCACAGUUGUUGGUACAUAUUGGGAGCAGCUCCCUGCAACCUCAGGGUUACUCUGGCUACAUAACCUGGAUACUGGUCAGGCAGGUGAGAGCUCCGUGAAGUAAGCUCCCCACAGGAAAGAGGCCACUGCCUUACUCACUGCAAAAACCACCACCAGCCCCAAUCUCUAUUUGACCUGCCCAUGUUUUUAGGGGUCUCUCAGUAGCAAAGCUACAAGAGCCCCUGACUUAGAGGAAGGGACACCUGUCUCUGCUCCUCCUCUGGGGAAGGUUUGAAGGCACUCCCCAUGGGUCAACAGCUCUGCAGCCCAGUGCAGUGUUGCCUCAGGAGCGAGCCUGAGGAGAAGAGGGCACAAGAUCCCCACAAAUACCAAGUACUCUGGCCAACCCUGCUCUGCUAGAGGAGGUGGGGCCAGGGCAAGUAUCCCAAAAAUAGCCAUCUGGGAGCCUGGGAGCCCUGCCUCUGAGGUCAGAUUUGGAACUGAGAAUCCCAGAGAGACUCUGUUCUCAUACUCUCCGUGGAAUGUCCUCUCGGGCAAGCCAUCUGGACACUCUGGGAAGAAGGUACAGGCCCGCUGUGUACAGGGAGGUCCCUGUGGUAAGUUCUUCUGCUUUGAAAGUAUUUGUAGAUUAAGAGCCCCGGUUGGCAUGAGCAACCGGAAGCGGGCAGAAGCGAAGCAAGGCUCUGGACUUUAACUCUGCAGCUCCUCAUCCGUCAAACAGCGGAGCAUAAAAACCAACAGCUGUGGAUCCCGAUGUCUGGCAGCUCCAUAUGGGAAGCUGAUCCCGGCCUCUUUACUCAGUUACUCUUCCCCGUGCCUUUCCCAAGUCCAAAACACCAGUGAAGACAUCUUUGAAGGCUGAGAGACCCAUGAAGAUCCCAUUCCUACACUUGGCUGCAGGAGACCCUGAAUACCAUACAAACCUCUCUGAGCUUCCCAAACAGGUAAUGUCUGUGAGAUUAAACAGGGGAUCCCUGAAGAGUGCCAAGCAGCAGGAAGUACCCAACAAGACAGUGCCCUCCUAGAGACGGAGCUGUGAAGUUCAGUCAAAGGGAACCAUGAUCGUGCUGGUUUUCAUUUGCUUUCCUGAUGAGAGCCAACUGUUUACAGCCAGGAGUCACUGUUUCACCUUCCUUUGAAGCAUGACUAUGUACGAGUCUUCAGCAGUUAGGGCUACUAAUGCCAUGGGCCUGCUGCCUGUUUGAGUGGAGUUCUCAGUGUUACUAUAUGUGGUGGUUUGAAUGAGAAUGCUCCCAUGGGCACAUACAUUCGGAUGCUUAGUCCCCAGUUGCUGGAAUGGUUUGGGAAGGAUUAGGUGUGGCCUUGUUGGAGGAGAUGUGUCACUGGGGGGUGGGCUUUGAGUGUUCAAAAGCCCAAACUGUUCCUAAUUAGCUCUCUCUGCUUACUACUUGUGAAUAAGGAUGUAAGCUCUCAGCUACUGCUCCAUGGCCAUGCCUGCCUGCCUGACUGCCCACCCCAUGCUACCGGCUAUGAUGAUAAUGGACUCGCCUUUGAACUAUAACCCCCAAUCUACAAUCUACAAGGGAUCCUGAGACUCUCGCCCCCACGCCCCUCUCUUUAGGAAGGGUUGUGUGUCUACUUGUUCAAGACAAGAAGAUAUUUCUAUAGAUCAGACUGGCCUUGAACUUACCAUGAAGCCUAGGGUGACCUUGAACUCCUGGUGCUCCUGCCUCCAUGUCCUGAAUGCUAGGAUAUUUGUGUGUACCAUCUCCUGACACCAAGCCCAGAAACCUGUAUGCAGUGCUCAGAGGUCAUACGUGCGUGCAUGGUGCGUUAUUCUUACCACAUUUUCAAAUGCAGCAUGGUGUGGGGGCCACACAGAACAAAGCACCUGGUACAGUGCAGAGUCUGUGCUUGGCAUAUGACCCUCCAAACCACCAAAACGGGGGAAGGAGGGAGAGGGGAAGAGGGAGACACAGAGAGACAGAGACACAGAGUGAU